CUCUUUCACUUCCUGCCUCUUUAGCAUGUUGUUGCUAGCAGCAGAGCUACAGGCAAAGUGGAGCUGACCUUACUGGAGAAGGGGACUAAGACAGUGGCUGUUUUCUCUUAAAUCACAGGCAGAGAUGAUUGUGUAAAAAAUGGCUACAAUGUCAGCAUUUCAUACGCUUCGUGGCGUUUCCCUGGAAAUAAUUGGUUCGUCCUGUAACCUGUGGAGAAACAAUGUUUACUCCUUAACUACCAAGAGCUGCAGACUCAGAUGUCUGCAGAGCCGCAUCUUAAGACCGUUCAGCUCUCGCCAACAUAACCCAAAGGUCCCAGAGGUGCCAACAUGGGAGCCAGCACCAGAAGAGCAGCUUCCUCCGCCGACCAAAAUCCCAGUGGACCUGGUGGACAAGCUGGAGCGGCUGGCCCUGGUGGAUUUCCGCACCAAGCAGGGACUGGAAUGUUUGGAGAAAGCCAUUCGUUUUGCGGAUCAGCUCCACAUUGUCGACACGUCUGGGGUCGAACCGAUGGAUUCAGUUCUGGAGGACAGGGCUUUAUAUCUGAGGGACGACACAGCGACGGAGGGAGACUGUGCAGAAGAGCUGCUGAAGCUCGCAAAAAACACAGUGGAAGAAUAUUUUGUUGCACCUCCAGGAAAUAUUCCUUUGCCUAAAAGGGAGGAGAGGACAGCCAUGCUCAGACACUCGGAGUUCUGAUGACUGGAUUGUGAAUAAUUUAUUGACUUUUUUAAUUGCGAAACUGUACAUGUCUGCCUCAGCCUACAGUAUACGACACAGGUCUUGGUUGGAACUACAUGACCCAGGUUCCUGAUUGUCCUUAAUGCAGGUUCAGGAUUGUCCUUAAUGCAGUUUAUCUGCAACCAUAAACUAUGUGGGAGAAGCUGCUGUCUGUUCAGCUUCUGCUAAAAUUCUAAUCUUCCUGUUGGGCUGAUAAACAAGUUUAGGUUUCAGUAUCAUUUCUUAUGAACGUGACGUCACACUGUAUUGACGACUGCUGCAGGUAUUAAAGGUAAUGGUAACUGAAACAUUUGUUGUCCUGUAUAUUUCCUUAUUUUGGCAAAUAUACUUUAAAUGAAGCAUUUUCACUGAAAUGUGACCUUAAGACUCUUGGAUUGUUUCACGCUUUUAUAAGUUGAUACAUGUGGAUAUUGAUUUUACAAUAAAAGAAUAUAAAAUU